rnacentral:rRNA from 1 species
GUAGUCAUAUGCUUGUCUCAAAGAUUAAGCCAUGCAUGUCUAAGUAUAAGCAAUCAUACUGUGAAACUGCGAAUGGCUCAUUAUAUCAGUUAUCGUUUAUUUGAUAGUACCUUACUACUUGGAUAACCGUGGUAAUUCUAGAGCUAAUACAUGCUACAAACCCCGACUUCGGAAGGGGUGUAUUUAUUAGAUAAAAAACCAAUGCCCUUUGGGCUCUGUGGUGAUUCAUAAUAACUUUUCGAAUCGCAUGGCCUUGCGCCGGCGAUGGUUCAUUCAAAUUUCUGCCCUAUCAACUUUCGAUGGUAGGAUAGUGGCCUACCAUGGUUUCCACGGGUAACGGGGAAUUAGGGUUCUAUUCCGGAGAGGGAGCCUGAGAAACGGCUACCACAUCCAAGGAAGGCAGCAGGCGCGCAAAUUACCCAAUCCCGAUUCGGGGAGGUAGUGACAAUAAAUACUGAUGCAGGGCUCUUUUGGGUCUUGCAAUUGGAAUGAGUACAAUCUAAAUCCCUUAACGAGGAACAAUUGGAGGGCAAGUCUGGUGCCAGCAGCCGCGGUAAUUCCAGCUCCAAUAGCGUAUAUUAAAGUUGUUGCAGUUAAAAAGCUCGUAGUUGAACCUUGGGCCUGGCUGGUCGGUCCGCCUCACCGCGUGCACUGAUCCGGCCGGGCCUUUCCUCCUGGGGAGCCGCAUGCCCUUCACUGGGUGUGUCGGGGAACCAGGACUUUUACUUUGAAAAAAUUAGAGUGUUCAAAGCAGGCCUUCGCUCGAAUACAUUAGCAUGGAAUAAUAGAAUAGGACGCGCGGUUCUAUUUUGUUGGUUUCUAGGACCGCCGUAAUGAUUAAUAGGGAUAGUCGGGGGCAUCAGUAUUCAAUUGUCAGAGGUGAAAUUCUUGGAUUUAUUGAAGACUAACUACUGCGAAAGCAUUUGCCAAGGAUGUUUUCAUUAAUCAGUGAACGAAAGUUAGGGGAUCGAAGACGAUCAGAUACCGUCGUAGUCUUAACCAUAAACUAUGCCGACUAGGGAUCGGGCGAUGUUAUCUUUUGACUCGCUCGGCACCUUACGAGAAAUCAAAGUCUUUGGGUUCUGGGGGGAGUACGUCAGCAAUGAUGAAACUUAAAGAAAUUGACGGAAGGGCACCACCAGGAGUAAACGCGCGCAGCACUCUGCUCCAGAAAGCCACUCGAAAGAGUUGUGGUGCCUGUGGCUAGUGGUCUCGGACCGCGACACCCUCAAAUUGCGGGAAACCCCUUAAGCUUCUGCUACCGCAGCGGCGCCGAAAGGCGUCGUGCGCACCAGGGUAAUGACCUCGGGGAUGGUAACAACGCAGAAGAUUGGGCAAUCCGCAGCCAAGCUCCCUCGCGGAGAAGGUUCAGAGACUUGAUGGGGGUGGGUUGUCGAACGACGGCUUAAGAUAAAGUCCGGCUCCACGCGAAAGCGUGGAGGUUUGUGGGAGCCUGCGGCUUAAUUUGACUCAACACGGGGAAACUCACCAGGUCCAGACAUGAAAAGGAUUGACAGAUUGAGAGCUCUUUCUUGAUCUCAUGGGUGGUGGUGCAUGGCCGUUCUUAGUUGGUGGAGUGAUUUGUCUGCUUAAUUGCGAUAACGAACGAGACCUUAACCUGCUAAAUAGCCCGGUUCGCUUUGGCGGAUCGCUGGCUUCUUAGAGGGACUAUCGGCUCAAGCCGAUGGAAGUUUGAGGCAAUAACAGGUUAACUCACAGGCCUGUAAAAGUGGGAAUACUGCUAGUCCAGCGUCACCUCUGUGGGGAAGUCCCCGAGCCGGGCAGAGGCGUCUUUUGACGAACGCGGGCGACACCACCUGGUACAGGGAACGCCGUCAGGCCGAUCCUGUGGCGAGCUUGGUCACGACAAGCCGUCGCAACGUGCGGAAAGGGGUGGGCUCUCCGGAGCUUGAGGUACGUACUAAUCCCUGGGGCAACCCAGCUCUCGCGAUGAGGCCCGGCGGCCGAGGCGCGAGGGGGACGACGUGUCGUCUGGUUCACAUGCUGUGAUGCCCUUAGAUGUUCUGGGCCGCACGCGCGCUACACUGACAGAGCCAACGAGUGUCUUCCUUGUCCGAAAGGUCUGGGUAAUCUUGUUAAACUCUGUCGUGCUGGGGAUAGAGCAUUGCAAUUAUUGCUCUUCAACGAGGAAUUCCUAGUAAGCGCAAGUCAUCAGCUUGCGUUGAUUAUGUCCCUGCCCUUUGUACACACCGCCCGUCGCUACUACCGAUUGAAUGGCUCAGUGAGGCCUUCGGACUGGCUCCAGGAGGUCGGCAACGACCACCCAGAGCCGGAAAGUUGGUCAAACUUGGUCAUUUAGAGGAAGUAAAAGUCGUAACAAGGUCUCCGUAGGUGAACCUGCGGA